rnacentral:lncRNA from 10 species
UACCCUGCAAAUUUACCUGGUGCCAGCUGUUUCUCAUCUCUUUCUUUGACUCCAUUGUCGUCUCUUCAUUCCACUCCAUAGGGUGGCAGCUGGAAGAGUUAUACAAUUGGACUAGGAAUGCUGAAGUAUACAGUGUGACCUAAGAAAGGUUCAUCUGUUGUACAGAAGCUAUGAGGUAAUAUGUCACCAUUCAACCAGUCACUGCUGCUAGAAAACACAGAAUCAUCUGGAGUUUUCCAUGGCCUCCACUCUGUUCCUGUCACAUCUGUUUUCCCACCAAGCUCAGGCAAUUCUAUUUCUGAAAAUAUCUCUAACCCAUCCUCUCCCAGCCUCAAGCAUUUAUAUUGACUCAGACCAGUAUCAACUUCCCUGAUGGACUUUCUACCUCCAAUAGCUCUGAACAAGGAAACAGGACAACUCUGGUAAACAAUGAUCCUGGUGGAAGGAGGUGGACAAAAAACCUGAGUGACAGUGAGUGGCCACUGAUCAGAAGACUCAGGGACCUGUAGCUGUUUUAGCUCCUGGAAAUAAGGCAGUGAGAGAUAUUGUCUAGUAUCUGGUAUGAAGUGAGCUGCUGAUACUGUGGCAGGCAGAGCACCAUUGUUUGCAGACUGCAGCAGGAUCCACCAGGUCCCUCCAAUUGCUACUAUAAUUAGCUCAGGAGAUUAAAUUCUGUUUUGUUAAAUGCUAUUCAUUCAUUACCUACCAUGUUUCAGGUCCUGGUUGAGACCAUAGGGGUAUCAGGCAAUGCAUGAGAACAGCAUGUGCCAUGCCUCAUGAAGGAAACUUACAGUCUAGCUGGGAAGACAGAUAUUAAUCAAGUGUGUUGAGUGUUAUGAAGAAGAAAGUCAGGGUCCAGUGGAGCAUAUACCUGGAAGACUUAACCUAGUCUAGGGGUUCAUGGAAGGCUUCCCUGUGGAAGUGAUAAGAAAAGAUCAUGCAAGUAGUUAAAAAAGAAUGAAUUAACAGCAUUUGCAGUGACCUGGACGAGACUGGAGACUAUUAUUCUAAGUGAAGUAACUCAGGUGUGGAAAACCAAACAUCACAUAUUCUCACUGAUAUGUGGGAGCUAAGCUAUGAGGAUGUGAAGGCAUAAGAAUGAUACAAUGGACUUUGGAGGUUUCGGGGAGGAAUGGUGGGGGGCCGAGGGAUAAAAAUCUAUAAAUAUGGUGCAGUGUAUACUGCUCAAGUGAUGGAUGCACCAAAAUCUCACAAAUCACCACUAAAGAACUUACUUAUGUAACCAAAUGCCGCCUGUAUCCCCAUAACUUCUGGAAAAAUAAAAUAAAAUAAUUAAAAAAAGAAAAGAUUAUGCAAGUAGGGAAUACCCACAAUGGGUGGGAAGGGGGG